rnacentral:rRNA from 1 species
CGAUAAAGCGGGUGAAAAGCCCGCUCGCCGGAAGACCAAGGGUUCCUGUCCAACGUUAAUCGGGGCAGGGUGAGUCGACCCCUAAGGCGAGGCCGAAAGGCGUAGUCGAUGGGAAACGGGUUAAUAUUCCCGUACUUGGUGUUACUGCGAAGGGGGGACGGAGAAGGCUAUGUUGGCCGGGCGACGGUUGUCCCGGUUUAAGCGUGUAGGUGUGUGUUCCAGGUAAAUCCGGUUCACUUUAACACUGAGGCGUGACGACGAGGCACUACGGUGCUGAAGCAACAAAUGCCCUGCUUCCAGGAAAAGCCUCUAAGCAUCAGGUAACAUCAAAUCGUACCCCAAACCGACACAGGUGGUCAGGUAGAGAAUACCAAGGCGCUUGAGAGAACUCGGGUGAAGGAACUAGGCAAAAUGGUGCCGUAACUUCGGGAGAAGGCACGCUGACAC